rnacentral:lncRNA from 1 species
UCAUGUUACCUACAAAAUUAAAAAUAUUUUAAUAAAUUUAAUAUACUUUAAUUUAAAAUCAUGCUUCCACCAUCUUAUUUUAGUUGGACACUGUCACGAUCCAAAAAUGAGGGAUAUGAUGGCACUUGUAGCAGCGUACCUUCACAAGUAAGCCUAUCACCCAAACUAAUACGAAAAGAGAAAAAGAUAGAAAUAUCCUAAUACGGGUCAAAGAAGCGUCUUAGUACUCGAGGACAUGAAGACGUGAGUAAAGACCCGAGCUUGUGUGGCUGCCCAUCCAAGGAACAAGUUUUGAAGUAUUGAGAACAAGUCCCAACACUCCAAAACCGUCUAAGGAGUACACUACAAGGUUGCCCCUUUGUAAUUAAGUGUUUCCCUAAUCUAUAAAUAUAACAUUUAGUUCAUUUUGUCAUUUUAGAACUUUGACGAUAUAUUUUGAAUACUCUUUGAGAGUGUCUUGCAAGGUGGAAUCUUUGUGUUGAUAGCUUGCUUAGAAACUGUGGUUGCUUGGGAGCUCCGAUUUCCUUGAGGUCUACAUAAGAGUGUAGGUGUCUUGUAUUCAUGUUAUUUGUAUUUUGAUGUUUAAUGUACAUCUUAGUUCCUAUAACGUGUAGUACAUUUUAUCUCACUAUCUAUCCAUUUAUCUAUUGCAAAUCGUUAGUUCUUGUGUUUGCCUCUUGUAGCCAUUUUGUGUUCUUGUUGUCUUAUGUUGUUGUUACAUUAUUGGGGACUGUUUUGAGGCUUAUUUGGACUGUUUGGUAUCAUUUGGUAUCAAAUCCAUCAUUAAUUUCGUUCUCACGAGAUCAAUCUUAGGUUUGUUCACUCAAAAAUUAAAAAAAGAAAGUGUUGAAAAGCUGGAAACUCAAAAAUAGUAAUCUGUCCACGUUUUUGUGUUUAGGACAAAAGUUUAAGCCUAGUUUUCUAGUAAUUUUUGUGUAUUUUUUGUUUUCUAGUGUUAGAUCUUUAUUUCCUAGCAUUAGAAGAGGUAUCCAAGGUCGAAAAUCUCACAAAUAGAAGUUAUUCUACGUGUUUGGUGUCUUGGCUGAAGUGUUGUUGUUGUUUGACCGAAUUUGUGUUUUUCGUGUUGUUUUGAUUGUCUUUGUUGUUUCUUGUGUUGGUUUUCUUUCUAUCUAACACUACUUGAGUCUAACCCAAGUUCUUGAGCAAAAAAAAUUGCAAGUUGUUGUGGGAAGAGUGGACGGUUUUUUUUUUGUUGUUGGAGUUCUUGUGUUGUGUUAAAGAAGUCUUGUAAAAGGUUGUUGUUUGAUCCAAAUUCAAAGGAAAGAGAGUGUGGGUUUUGUUAGUCUUGAAACAAAUUUCAAGACAUUACAAAAGGGGAAAAGGAACAAAAGACCUCCCAAAAGUCUUCAUACCAAAAGGGAGUAAAUUCAUUUUUUGCUAGACAAGCCAAAAGAGGAAAGGGGGACAAGACCCCCAAAAGGUUGUCUUGCCAUUUUAGUGCAAGUAGGUGAAAGACUUUAUGAGUCUUAAAAGUGGAGUCUAGACCUUGUUUGUCCCAUACUUUGGCCGAAAUUCUCCUCUUCCAUACAUGAAAUUGAACAACUAGUUUCUUGAAACAAAAAAUUUUCAACUUCAACCACUAGUUUCACUUUCUUGUUUCCAUUAGUUUCAAUUUUGUUGAUUCUCAUGCUAAUUAGCAAACUAGUAAAUACCUACUAGGUUGUAGAUUAGUUUAUGAGUACGUUUUCUUUCGUGUUAAGCAUUGUAUUGUGUGCUUUUCUCAUUUUUAAGUUGUAGUAUUUUCUUUGGUCCAAGUUCAAACAUUAUUUCUUGAGUUGUUUCAAAAGAAUCUACUCCGACCUCGAUCCACAAUUGGGAUCAAGUAGCCUCAUUGGAGUAUAAGCGAGUUAUCAACACUUGUGAGGCCAAUAGAGUGAAUACUUCAAAAGUGUGAGCUUGAGAGAUUACGGACUGUUUUGAGAUGAAUUGUGGACUGAUUUUUUCUAACCUUUAAUGUGUUUGCUAUUUUUGUGUUGUUUGUUUAGUAGUUCUGGAUAGGUACAAUGGCGGAUGAAGGUGAAAUGCCUAGUUGCUUUAAAUCCAUCGUGGCAAAACUUGAUGCCAUGGAAAGCCUAUUAAGAUCUUUUAAAGGAAAAAUGGAGAAAAUGAAAAGACGAAUAGAAAGAAUGGAAAGAAUAAUGGAUAGAAUGGAAGGACGAAAAGAAAGGACGGAGAGCUCUAUUUGCAAGAAGUUGGAUAACUUGAUAGAGUAUCCAAGCUUUCCUAAUCCAAUUUCCAUGAGUGGCCAUGCUCCACAUGAGCUACUAGGUAAUCAAAUUAACUCUAGCACUCUAGUGAAUAAAGUUAAUAACUAUCUAAGUGUGAAUGAUAGUUUGUCUUUAGGUGAGCCGAAUGUGCCUUCAUUUUGUGAUGAUAAUGUACAACUUGAGAUUGUGGAUACACUAGUUGAUCCACCUAGUGUUGAAUCCAUUGUGGUAAGUGAUAGUACAUUGUUUUAUGGAAGUCAUGAAGACCAACUUUUGUGUGAAAAUGGUGAUGUUGAGCAUGUUGGACAAUUGACUAGGGAUGACCCUCUAGUUGUUUUUGUUGUAAAUCACAUGAGUAUAGAGGGAAUAUUUGAUCGUUAUUAUAGUAGUAUUGGGGUAGGGAAAUAUAUUCCCAACCUAUUCCCAUGGACACUCCACCCAUUUGACCCAGGUGAUCAUUUGAAAUAUGGUGAUGAUGUCUUUUGGAAUGACUUGAAUGUGUAUGAAAUGUAUGGUUUUCCUAUCUCAACUUUCAAGCCUAUUUGUUGUUCCAAGAAGAGUCUAAGUUUUCCACUUGAUAAGUAACUCUUGUUCCUUGUUUCUUGUCAUACUUAUGUGGGUAGACUAAUUUAUUCUUUCUUGGGAAGGUAUUCGGGUAAGAGGGAUGUUUGGUUGUAUAAAGUUUGAGCCACCUUGGAAAGAUGCUAUGAUUGAUUACACUAAUCCUAACCCUCAUAUCUUGAGAAACUUGUUUGCUCGUCCUUCCUAUUAUUUUGCAAGGUUCAGAUUCGAGGGAGAAUCCUUUCUAAGGAGAGGAGGAUGAUACGGGUCAAAGUGGUAUCUUAGCACUCGAGGACAUGAAGAUGUGAGUGAAGACCCGAGCUUGUGGGGCUGACCAUCCAAGGAACAAGUUUUGAAGUGUUGAGAACAAGUCCCAACACUCCAAAACCGUCCAAGGAGUACACUACAAGGUUGCCCCUUUGUUUGGGCUCAUUAAGGGCCUUU